rnacentral:rRNA from 1 species
GACGAACGCUGGCGGCGUGCUUAACACAUGCCAGUCGUACGGUAAGGCCCUUUCAGGGUUACCCGACUGGCGAACGGGGGAGUAACACGUGAGUAACCUUCCCACACUACUUGUAUAAGGCUAGUAACCUGGUGCUACUUCUGCUAAUAUGCUCUUCCAGCUUGGGGGGGGUUCGAAAGCUCUGGGGGCCUUGGAUGGAUUAGCGGCCUAUCAGCUUGUUGGUGGGGUAGUGGGCUACCAAGCCGACGACGCGUAGCCGGCCUGAGAGGGUGACCGGCCACACUGAGACUUAGAGGCGGCCCAGACUGCGACGGGAGGAAGCAGUGGGGAAGAUUGAACAAUGGGCGCAAGCCUGAUGCAGCAGCGCCGCGUGCGGGAUGACGGCCUUCGGGUUGUAGACCGCUUUCAGCAGGGACGAAGCUUUUUGUGACGGUACCUGCAGAAGAAGCACCGGCUAACUACGUG